AAUACUGAACAUGAUUUUAAUUCUGUUCUUUACAGCAUAGUUUUAGCACCUCUGUAGUUUGGCUACAAACCAAAUGAGGCCAGGCAUCUUCUGCCAUUUUUUUGGUAGAUUCAACAGGCUAAAUUUGUUAGGGAAAGGUUGGGCUCAACACAGACAUACUCACAACUUACUGUCAUAUGUUCACUUUCACCAUGCCCCUUAACAUGUUCAGUUUGUGUUAGUUGAUGUCCCGAGCUGCUUCACAUAAAUAUGGUUGAUGUUUCUACAUUAAGUAUGUGUUGUACAGUAUGAUCAUACGUUUUGGUUAUGCAGGAGAUGUUUGGGUGGUUUGAUAGUUGGUCAGGCAUCAUAUCUCAGGUCUUUUUGACACUGUCUAUGGGUGUUCCGGUCUAUCCAUCUUUCAACCGUAUCAGAAAAAAGCAAGACCCCCAGUACAUGAUGUUCUUUAUACCUUACUGCUGUGCUUGGAUCUGUAUCAGCACUGUUCUUGUGUUCUUGUUCUUGGGGAGGUCUACGAAGGAGAAGCGUCUCUCACUGUGGAUGUAUAGACUAUACAUGAUGGGAAUCUGCAUCUCAAUGAUCCUCUUCAUUUAUCUCCUGAUCCCCCACACUACUGGAGUGAACCUUGGAGCUGGAAUACUGAUAUCCUCGGUAGUACUAGCCCAUAUGACUGCCUGGAACAUCAAACUUACUUACCCCUGCUCUACAAAUGAAUCUGAAAACAAUUCGGAGGGUUAGCCACUAGAGCUUGGAGUUCUCUGAUAGUUGAUUUCUACUAACUCAGUCCUAGUCAUCUAAUGGAUCUGACAAUGACAUAGAGGGUUAGUGAUUGUUGAGGAAGUUCUGACUAUAACUAUAAUAGUAUGAUUCACUGUUUCGCUUAUGUCUACUGACUGGAUAAGAAGAUUCUGAAGGUAUAUAAACCUGAUGGUUCCAUG